UUACUUAACCUGGCAGGGGAGAUGUCAUGAUCACUAAGGUGGUUUUCCCAGGGCAAAGCAUAUUCGUUGCACUCCGGAUGUGCCGACCCCUGCAAUUGCCCCAAAUGUGGAAAGCUCAACUGCAUAAUUUGUGAUGGGGGAUUGUGUGGCACUUUCUUCUG
ensembl:snRNA U1 U1 spliceosomal RNA